GAAGAAACCCACAUACAGCGCUGCAGCUCUCCUCUGUUUUAUCGGCACCCAACUCCAAUUCCUCUGUUCCCCACAAACUUGUGUGUAGGUUCAUUCACCAGUGUUUUGGGCGCUAGGCGAAGAACAGGGCCUAUUAGAUUCUCCAAGUUGCUGAAUCCAAUUCAUUCAGUUUCAAAGAAAAA